rnacentral:tRNA from 1 species
GGGGACGUAGUUAAGAUGGUGAUAACGCCGGCCUGUCACGCCGGAGGCCGCGAGUUCAAGUCUCGUCGUCCCCGCCA